rnacentral:rRNA from 1 species
UGGGGGAUAUUGCGCAAUGGGGGAAACCCUGAUGCAGCGACGCCGCGUGAGGGAAGAAGGUUUUCGGAUUGUAAACCUCUGUCAUGUGGGACGAUAAUGACGGUACCACAUGAGGAAGCCACGGCUAACUACGUGCCAGCAGCCGCGGUAAUACGUAGGUGGCAAGCGUUGUCCGGAAUUACUGGGUGUAAAGGGAGCGUAGGCGGGAAUGCAAGUUGAAUGUUUAAACUAUCGGCUCAACCGGUAGUCGCGUUCAAAACUGUAUUUCUUGAGUGAAGUAGAGGCAAGCGGAAUUCCUAGUGUAGCGGUGAAAUGCGUAGAUAUUAGGAGGAACACCAGUGGCGAAGGCGGCUUGCUGGGCUUUUACUGACGCUGAGGCUCGAAAGCGUGGGUAGCGAACAG